GCUGGGUGCGGUGGUGUGCGCCUGUAAUCCCAGCGGCUUGGGAGGCUGAGGCAGGAGGAUCGUGAGUUCAAAGCCAGCCUCAGCAAAUAAGCAAGGCACCGAACAACUCAGUGAGAUCCUGUCUCUA
rnacentral:sRNA from 1 species